rnacentral:lncRNA from 1 species
GCAGGAGGGGGCUAGGAGCCUUCCUCCCUCAUGAGAGGCUUGCCUGCCUUCAAAGAGCUGGGUCCCCGUGGAAGGCAGGGUGCCCGGGUGUCCCGCCUUUCGUCACUCUUCAGUGUGUGGUUGGGAAGGAAGCAGACGGCCACUGUCCACUGAACACCUCCUCUGUGUCAGGCAUGCUCAGCACGGAAAACAUUCCAUAGGCGGAGAAUUGUUAACUGGCCCGCAGCAGCAGCAGCAGCAGGGGACGAGGUUUUGGUUCCGAUUUGCAACGUCUUCCAGAUGGGAGCUUUGUGUGUGAGUUUUGAGGAGUUUGGAAAGUUUGAUUUAAACACUUGCACGAUUGUCCUGUGGGAACAAACCACUUCGAG